GCUGGGCGUGGUGGCAGGCGCCUGUAGUCCCAGAUACUCAGGAAGCUGAGGCAGGAGAAUUGCUUGAACCCAGGAGACAAGGGUUGCAGUGAGCCAAGAUUGCGCCACUGCACUCCAGCCUGGGUGACAGAGCGAGACUCUGUCUCAC
ensembl:misc_RNA Metazoa_SRP Metazoan signal recognition particle RNA